UCACGAAGUGGUGAUGACGCAACAGAAGAACCCGCUUCAACAUUGUAUGUGACGUCACAAAGGAUCCGACACGGCCGUAGAAACCACGGGUUAAAAAGGAGAAAGAGAAAAAAAGACGAGAAAAAAAGCGCAAGACGAAGAACAAAGACGAAGACGCCAAUAUAAGGAUGCCGGUUUGAGGUGUUUGUAGGCUAAGUGUGUAUAGGUUUAUCAUAAGUGUGUAUAGGCCUAAUAUAGGUGUGUACGCGCGAAGAAAGAGGAUCAGAGACGCCGAUAAAGGAUGUCGGUUUCAGGUGGUUUAGGCUUAGUGUUUAAGUAUGAGUGUGUUUGUGUGUGUUUGUGUUAGCUGGUGCACUCCUACAGUGUUGCCAGCUAUUUUUUUUGCUGGACCUAAUGUUGCCAGCUAUUCUUCCAGGCACUUUUUAGUACUUCUACAUGUCUUUGAAACAAAUGCAAAGGAAUUGUUGCAACAAUCUUACUUGAUAAAGAUUAGCAUCUACUGUAGUGUUCAUUCCUUCCGAGUGUUUUGUCUGUCGGGACUUAAAUCUUACAGCGGUUUUGUAUUGUCUCGGUUUGCUUUGCGAGAACUCUUGUCUUGGUACU